rnacentral:rRNA from 1 species
GAUCAUGGCUCAGAUUGAACGCUGGCGGAAUGCUUUACACAUGCAAGUCGAACGGUAGAGGGGGCAACCCCUCGAGAGUGGCGAACGGGUGAGUAAUAUAUCGGAACGUGCCCAGUCGUGGGGAUAACGUAGCGAAAGUUACGCUAAUACCGCAUACGAUCUAAGGAUGAAAGCGGGGGACUCGCAAGAGCCUCGGCGCGAUUGGAGCGGCCGAUAUCAGAUUAGGUAGUUGGUGGGGUAAAGGCUCACCAAGCCAACGAUCUGUAGCUGGUCUGAGAGGACGACCAGCCACACUGGAACUGGGACACGGUCCAGACUCCUACGGGAGGCAGCAGUGGGGAAUUUUGGACAAUGGGCGCAAGCCUGAUCCAGCAAUGCCGCGUGCAGGAAGAAGGCCUUCGGGUUGUAAACUGCUUUUGUACGGAACGAAAAGGCUCUGGUUAAUACCUGGGGCUCAUGACGGUACCGUAAGAAUAAGCACCGGCUAACUACGUG